AGUGAACGCUGGCGGCAGGCCUAACACAUGCAAGUCGAGCGGCAGCGGGUCCUUCGGGAUGCCGGCGAGCGGCGGACGGGUGAGGAAUGCAUCGGAAUCUGCCCUGUCGUGGGGGAUAACCUAGGGAAACUUAGGCUAAUACCGCAUACGACCCACGGGUGAAAGCGGGGGAUCGCAAGACCUCGCGCGAUAGGAUGAGCCGAUGUCCGAUUAGCUAGUUGGCGGGGUAAAGGCCCACCAAGGCGACGAUCGGUAGCUGGUCUGAGAGGAUGAGCAGCCACACUGGGACUGAGACACGGCCCAGACUCCUACGGGAGGCAGCAGUGGGGAAUAUUGGACAAUGGGCGCAAGCCUGAUCCAGCCAUGCCGCGUGGGUGAAGAAGGCCUUCGGGUUGUAAAGCCCUUUUGUCCGGGAAGAAAUCGUCUGGGCUAAUACCCCGGGCGGAUGACGGUACCGGAAGAAUAAGCACCGGCUAACUUCGUG
rnacentral:rRNA from 1 species